rnacentral:lncRNA from 1 species
CUGCUCCCCAAAUUCACUCAGACCAAGCUUUCUCUUAUUUAGGUCCAAAAGAAAACUGCUUGGCUGGAAGGAGCCUGGAGAGGGCUUUGCCAGCAGCAGACCAAGCUCUCACUCACCGGUAAAGAACACAGCUGAUUCUCCAAUCAGUGAGUCUGCCACCAUUGCCGGGUCAAGCGGCAUUGCCAGCCUAGAUGCUGGCAGAAAUGAUGAUUUCAAGGCCUUGCUCCUGAAGAAGGGAAGUAAGGCAGCUCCAAGGUCCCGCCCCUCAGCAGCUGAACUGCUGAAGACCACUAACCCACUGGCUAGGAGAAUUAUUGCACAGUUUUCAAAAGACUAUGAAAACACUGAUAACUCCAGUACCUAAGCCCUGGGUUCAACAAACAGGGUUUACUUACUAAACUUGAGUAGAGAAGGGGGAAGAGAAAGGGUUAUAAAAAGGAACCAUGGAAAUCACAAAAGAGCCUACAUUUCUUUUACAUUAACUCACACUCUGGCCAGCAGGAAAGAGCCUGCUUCAACUAGAACUGAAGUUGUAAGGCACUGGAAUGGUCUUUAAACAUUUUGUAUUUCCAUAAUUACACCCUCACCAUGACUGGUUACUGGGUUUCUUCUUAUUUUCCCCCAGUGGUGUGCACUGACUAAGGAGGAAUUAUCAGAAGCAAAGGUUGUGCCAUCUUUUUCAUGUCACCUUUUCAAUUAAUGUCCUGGCUGCUCCAGCCCUGGCUCCCGCCGCUGGCAGCCGCAGUAGGAGAGCUGAAAAGGGGCUGUCAACCCCUUGGGGGUGGGGCCAUCGGGUGCCAUUGCUGAUUAUUCAUUCUCAUGAGGAAGCCUUGACAAACCUGUAUGGAGAUACAGAAAAACUGCGAGGCCUCCUUAACCACAGUGUGAUUCCUCCAGUGAGUUUUACAGGUGUGCACUUAUUUCGGCAUGAGGUUGAUUGGAUGGCUUUUGUGGUGCAAAAUAUGAAUGUGACUCUAUCCUGAAACUUCAUGCCUUUUUCAGUUUGAUUGUCUACACGGAGAUCAGGGUGAUGAGUUUCAAUAAAUGUAUAGGACCUCCCAACAUUAUCUAGAAAAGGUCCUGACUGGAUGGAUUUGGAUGAACCAAGCUCAGCCAACAAACAAAGUAGCUGUUCCCUCAGAUCUAUCCAAGGUAACUUGCACGUGCGCCUUGAGGUCCUUCAAAUGUCAGUCAACAUGGAUAGCCAAGAUCUGUGCCCAGGUCAUGCUGCAUUCUAAGAAUUCCUGUUUCAUUUGCAUAUAGCAUUCAGUACAGGAAGUAAUUAGCUGAAGGGCCAGCAUCAUCAAAGGCUCAAGGAGAAUAAGUGCAUUUUUCCCCACACCAUUCAAUUCAGAUGGCACUUUGUGGUUGGUUGGAUUUUGUUUAAAGGAAUUCUGACUCUAUUCCAAAAACCAAGAACUUAUAGAUUAAAAGGAUCUACCCAGAAUCUUAAAGGCAACCUUGCAAGUUGCUAUGGCCCAUAAGGCAAAAAGGGCUACUUUUUGCCAUUUACAGUCUGCUGUUUGACCAACUUUCAGUUAACCAUGCUCUGGGAGUACAUAAGAACUUGGGUAAAUGGGAUACUGAAAGAGUUUUGGAACAGUGAUUGCAACCCCUCCCCCAUCCAAAGCUAUCAGCUGCUAACUAUUCUUUUCAGCUCAAUUUUCUAAGCAGAGCAAGAGCAGUGGUUCAUUUGAUUUCCAUAUCCCUAAUUUCUGGGAGUUAAGGACAAGACAGGGAAAGCAUUGAACAGAGAAAACCUACUGACCAAUGUUGGAAAGUUUUAAUUGUCUACCGGUCCCAAGAGGCAAAAAAGAAAGUCAAAUGAAAUUGUAGCCUGCUUCACAAAGAGGGUUCCCAGACCCCUUCCUCCUUUAUGCUCACCCUACAGAUUCAUUUGUCAACUUCCUGGAAGAUGCAUCAAGAGUUCCAGUGACAAGCAGAUCUCAAUUUUGAUAGGACACUCUUCACCAAUGAGAAGCAAGUUCUUAGCUCAACUGUCCACACUCCAGUUGGACAGAGAAACUGAAAACCCACUUUAAGUGCUAAGAAGACUCAGGUUUCUCACACAGAAGCCCUAGGCCUAGGCUACUGGUCCAAUUAUGAAUUCAGACUAAUGGGAACAGCCAGGCUCACCAACUCCCUUGCAAUCAGCAACUCUCCCGAUUUAGAAAGAAGCCACUGAGAAUGGUAGACAGCUGGUCAAAGUCCAGUUGCUUUUGAAAGUAUUUGAACUAUCUGGUUUGAAGUUUCUGGGGGGUUCCCAGAAAUGAAAUAAAAUAGAUUCAUCCUUGGCCUUAGUUUAUACAUGAAUGCUACACUUAUCUGUCCUGGACUCAGAAUUCCAAAUGAUGGAAACAUUUUGCUCUGGAAGGAAAUGAAGGAGUGUUUGUGUUUUUGCCUAACAAAAGUGAAAGGCUGCCAGGGCCUGCUCCUUGGGAACCAUUAUGAACAGCUGAACUCUAAAGUAUGAGAGUAUAAUGUAGGACUUAUUACUUCUGCUGUUUUUUUCUGGAAGCUUCUUGUUUGUGAGUUCUAGUGGGUUUUGCCUCUCCCUUUGCCUUGCUACCUAUGGAAAUAUUCCCUAAAGUUUCUAAAGCUAAAUGCCCAGACACUUUGGUGUUUUACAAUUUCUGUGAUCCUUGUUCUCCUCUACAGAACUCCAUAUGCCUAGAAUUUUUUUAAUAUCUUUGCAUCAUUACCAUGGCCCACACAUGUCCCCAUUAGCACAAGAGGAUUUGGGAGCAGAGAUUGUAUGGUGAGAGACAACAUUUAGGACUGGAAAUAUUCAUUUAAUAUUUUGCAAAAGAUGGAUCUAGUCCCCCAAAAACCAAACCAUAAAUCUUCUACAAUUCAUUGAUUUAAAUAACACCAAGCAUCUUUUCUUCUUCUAACACUCAACCUCUCUCCUGCCCUUAUCACUUUUUUGUGGUGCGAGGAUCAAACCCAGGACCACAUGCAUGCAAGGCAAGUGCUUUACCACUGAGCUAUAUCCCCAGCCCUGCCUUGAUUACCAUAGCACCGAUUCUCUCUCCCACCCAGGCAUUUACCACCAUGUUUGCCACUUUCUGGGCCUACUCUGCUGAGGCUGGAGAAGAGAGAGAGAAAUCCCCUUCCAAGAAGGCUCUCAGUAAAGCUACUACCACUGCUAUGACUAUUAUGAAUAAUAAUGAGAAUAAUUUCCAAAAGUGGAAUAUUGAAGAGGUUGGAGGGAAGUGAAGCUGGCCCAAGGAUGUCAGUUUCCAACUUCAACCCUCUUAUCCCCACCAGUAGUAGCAGGUGGCUUUGGUCUUGUCAUGAGCAGAGGGAGCCAUCCCCAAAGAGGCAGUUAAUUGGUAUCUCAGAAUACUUUGCAUGUAGUGGGGAUUCAUUACAUAUUUGUGGUUCUAAGGUGGACAUUAGUAAGUUCUUAGUUCAAAUGCAGGCUUUGCUGGUGCCUCCUCUCUUUUGCCUGUACUACUUGGACUGCCUGGGCCUCCCACCUGGCCCCAAUUUGUCCCUCAGCCCCAACACCCAUGAACUGCAGCCCUAGAUAAUAGCUCAACCAUGAAGGACACAAGGCUACAGGCAGCCAAUAGUUCACAUUGGUUUAAUGACCACAAGUUGACCGGCUGAUAAUGAUCUGGAGAAAUUACCACGAAUGAAUAAUGACAACAGAGUCUCCAAAGCUGUCCUAACAAGCAUUUUUGUCUGACAUCCACUUUAACUAUCUAGACAACACAGAUCCGAUUGUACCUAUCUCUCUGAGCAGAUCUGCCCAUAAACCUGUCUUCUUCCUCAUCCCGGAACUAGUCAGGAAAAAAAACAAGUUCAUGCUCAGUUUGCUCCUCACUGGUUCAGCCUUCCAUAUUCACCAAGUCUGUGACACAAAUGGUGAGCUUUCGCUUUAAUAUGAUUUGCCAGGGCCAGGACUAGGGUGAGGUGGGCGAAGUGCCAAGUAGGCGCCUGCCUGCUCUAAGGGCCUUGCAAGUGCCUUACCCUCGUCCAGGCCUUGUGAUUUGCACUCUUCAAAGUGAUAUCAGUUUCUCUUCUUCCAUGUAUUGUUCUGAUUUGGGAGGCUAACUUCCUAUCUGUUGUUGCACCAAAUGUUUUAUUGGUAUCUGUUCUUUCAUUCACUGCUAGAAGCCUUUGUAUGCCUACGCAUCACAGAAUCUUCAGAGUUAUCAAAAAACAUAGUUGAUUUCUAAGUAACCUGCUCCAUGCGACAAGUUAGCACCCAUUUCAGUAGGGACAGCCCUUCAGAAAAAUAGUGAAUAAACUGGAGGUCUGCCCACGCCAUCCUCAGUCUCCUUCUGCUCCCUUCCCCCAGCACCAACUCUCCUUAGUGCCUCCUGCUUUGUUCUCCCCUCUCUAAGAAAACAUGCUCUCAGGAAAGGGAUAAAUUAAUUUACUUUGAGAUUAUAAAUAAGGCUUAAUGCUACCUCUUUUGAGGGUUGCUUGCAUUUUAACAGGGGAAAGCCUGAAGCCAAAGGAAUGAAGUUCUACUUGCAGAAUGUUAGGCAUCAACUAAUUGUAAAAGUGUAUUUUUCACCAUGGAAAGGCCAGAUUCCCUGAUGGCUAACUCCAGAGUAUAGAAAAUAACUUUAUCUCCUGGAAUAAUUAUAGAUACUAGCUGAUGGUCAACCAGAUUAUCCAGAUACCCAGUGCUGUUCAGUAUGGUUACUACCAAGGGACUCUCAGAAUUGGCUACUAAAAGCCACUGAGAAGGCCUAGAUCAUUCAUAUUGUACAUUAACAUGUUAUAUAACAGAGUUAAUACUACUUAUCAUUUGAGUAAAAGAACACAAAGAUUUGAAGAGUUUGUGGAAAUGUGUCCUGUUUGUGAAAGAUUAAACUGUGCAACCCGUGUCCAUCAAUGUCAGUCAUCCAGUAUUGGUAGUGAUACUUAUUGGAGGUACAACUUUAUUAAACACAGGCCUCUACUCUCCCUCCCCCCAUUUUACCUCUGUUAUGUGCUAUCACUUCAGCUUGGUGUGAGAAUGAGACCAUAUUAUUAUCAGAGCACCCAGUCCCUUUAAAGCCUUUGCAUGUAUUUCAGCUAUAAGUGACAAAGAUAUUAGAUUUAAAAGGAUGAGAGAGUGGGAAAGAGAUACAAAGAAGUGCCUUUGUCAAAGGGCAGAAAACAGUAUAAUGAUUUAAACAAUGAUGAAAUAAACAAAGUUUUAGAAUACUUUGAAAUAGGCUUAUAGAGAACUAUAGUAGUAAAUGGUUAUGAACACAUAUUAGGGGCACAACACUUUUAAUACAUUAGCAAAAGAAAUUUGCAUGAGCAAUGGAUUAUGUAAGAUAGGUAUAUACUUUUGUUCAGUAAAGCCCAAAAUCUAGGCCAGUGAUUCUCUUAAGUGUGGUUCCAGGACUUGCAAUAGCAGCAUCCAUGGAGGAGAGAGAGAGAGAGAGAGAGAGAGGGAAAGGGAGUGUGUGUGUGUGUGUGUGUGUGUGUGUGUGUGUGGUCCAGUGAUGUUACUCCUUCAAGGCCCUGAAUCACUACAGCCACAACUCUUCAACUGAUCCCAACCUUCCUGUUAUUUUGGAUGACAUUACAGUGAUCAGUUUCUGGCCAAAAGAUGUAUAUCAUCGUCUUAGUCAGGCAUAUAUUUGUUCGGUGUUAAGAAAUUAUCAGAUUGAGGGCCAGGGUUGUGGCUCAGUGGUAGAGCACUUGCCUAGCAUGUGUGAGGCACUGGAUUUGAUUCUCAGCACCACAUAUAAAUAAUAAAUGAAGGUCCAUCAACAACUAAAACUUAUUAAAAAAAAAAGAAAUUAUCUAAUUGAGCCAGGUGUGGUGAUACACUCCUGUAAUCCCAGUAACUUGAAGGCUGAGGCAGGAGGAUCUCAAGUUCCUGGCCAGCCUUGUCAACCUAGCAAGACUCUGUCUCAAAACAAAACAAAACAAAAAGCUGGGUGGUAAGUGUCCCUAGGCUCAACCCUCACUACCACAAAAAAAAAAAAAAAUACCAGAUUGAAUCAACUAUUUAAACUACAAAACCUUUGAUUUGACUUAGCCAGCACAUCCGACCCGGUUUGGGUUUUAAAAAGAAAAUUAACUCUGAAUUUAAACAAAAAAAAAAAAAAAAGGAAAGGUGUUACACUUGUUUGGUAUUGCCAAUCCUUAAACAACAGUCUUCACCAUGGUGGCUAUUCUCCAAGAGGGCUCUGGCAGAAGUAUAUUUGAUUUUAAGAUAUUUGCCUAAAGAAUGGAGUUUGAUAGCAAUGCACUCCAAAACAAAAUAUGAACCGGAACAAACAGUUAACCCCCUCAGCCUCUUUGUAUGCCAAGCUUUAUAGAAAUUUAUUCCUUAUGUGGUCUUGAGCUUUUUUAUGUCCAAUUUUAUAAAAUGUUAUGCAUGCAAACACAGCAUUGUGCUCAUUGUUCCAGUCACCUCAAACUCAUACCUUCCUCUGUAUGUGUGAUGGUGAAGAAAUAUCAAUAUGUAUGUUCUGAUGUCUCCUGAUCAAUUGUAAAUUGCAAACCUUUUCAUUAAUUUUUCAAUGAUAUAUAUUUACUCUGUCUAGUAGUUAAGAUUUUAUUCUUUUUAUUAUGUUUCAUUGCUACUUUUUUCUACUAACUCCAAAACUUACUUUGGGGAAUAUUUCUUAUUUCGAGAUUGUUGUAUUUAUCUUAUUUCUAUAUUUAUCUAUAUUCACAGAAUGUUAGAGUUGAAAGGGACCAACCUCUCUCAUUCCAUAGAUGAGGAAACUGAGACCAGAAUGGUCAAAUAGCUUACCUAAGGUCACGCAGUGAGCCAGAGGCAAGGCCUAACCUCAAUUCCAGGUCUCCUGCCUCUGGGCUGAAUGUUUUGUCACUUAAAGCACUACACUUAUAGAAUAGCCACAGCUUUCUUCUACUUUUAUGACUUUCAAAUUUCCCAGGUAUUUCAAUGAAUUUAUAUAUAUAUAUAUAUAUAUAUAUAUAUAUAUAUAUAUAUAUAUAUAUAUAUAUAUACUUUAAGAAAAAAUGCUCAAGAGUUCUUUAGUUCAUGAAUCCAAAGAUAAAUCUGAUUUUUAGCUUAGAAACUUUUGUUCCCUCCAUAUUCAGUAUCUGUGCCCUACUUUGUAUAAUGGAUGUUGUACCUAAAAAUUGUGUGAAAUGGGUUUUUAUAGAUCAAAUUUCAUUUUUAGUAGGGAGGCUUCCUAUAUAAGGGAAUCUUCUGGGGAUUUCUUUUGAAAAACCAAGACUCCUCUUGUCCCUUAAUGUCUCUAUUUUUUUAGUAUGAACUUUUGUAUUUGGUGUUUAUUUAAGUAGGGCAAACCAAUAUUAGCUUUCCUAGAAUCUACUUUAGCCUUCCCUUAAUCUUUAUGAAAAAUUUUCAGAUUGUUAGAUGUUCGUGCAUUACUCAGCUGUGUUCUAGAAACUUCACUUGGCUUGAUAUUUUGACAAUCCCUGGGCUCAAACCUCAUCUUUUUCUUAAUGAAAAAUAAUAGAAUUCCCUAAUCAGUACUGAGCUCUGCAUGGAGUGUCUUUUUCAGAAUAUUCUUUGCCUAAUGUUCCUAAAUGUGGCUCUCUCUUUGGCUAUCCUUGGACUUCCUUCCUUAGUUCAUGCAUACCUUACUAUUCCUUGGACUUGGAGGCAGUGGACUUUGAGGGUUGUGCCAAUCAUAUUGAAUGGUAUUUCCAGUUAUUGUUAUCAUCCCCCUGUUUCUUCUGGACUUCCUCUGGUUUCCCUUUUCAGGGACCUCAGAGGCUUCUUACCAGAGAUUGGUAGGAUUUCCACCAUCAUCUAGACCAGGGACUGACAAUCUUCCUCUGCAAAGGGCCAGACAGUAACUGUUGUAAGCCUUCUGGACCACAUAUAGUCUCUAACACAUUUUUCUUUGCUGUUACUGUUUGUUCCUUCAUUUGUUUUACAGCCCUUGGAAAAUGUAAAAACAAGUCUUAGCUUACAGACCAUACAAAACCUCAGGCUGAACUUGGCCUGCUUGUCAUCAUCAUCACUAUCUGGAACAGGUAUUUCUGUGACCUGUCCCACGUGGUAAGUGGGUUGUGUAUCAGAUGAUGUGGCUCACUGCCCUCAUAUUUCCUGCAUCAUCAGAUCAGUCUGACUGCACAUGGGCAGGGAGAGAGGGGCUGCAUGUGCCAACCAUUACAUUGGAUGUCCCUCAUUAACUAGCUCUCAUUACUGACUGCCUCAGUGUAGAAACACUCGUUCUUUUCUGGAUCUGUCCUUGUUCCUUGCUUUUAAGUGUUCCUCUGACUCACCAGGUUGGAAGUAAGGUAGUAGGAAAGAAUGAAUUUCCGAGUUUUCUUAUUUCUUUAAUCUUGUCAUUGCUCCCCAAACCUUGGGCUACUCUCUCCUGCCCCAUACUACCAUCACAAGUUUAGGACUGUCAUUGGAAAGUCUGGUUGUUCAGGCCAUAAAUUCUAAUCCAGUCUAUGAUUUCCUAGAGAAAUCACCAAUUUUCCUGGUUCUAAAGGCGGGUUUUAAAACUCAGAAUUUCCAUGUGUUUAUUUCCUAAAAAUGAUUUGGACCUAGUACUAGACAGAGCACUCAGCUCUGACAAGAAAGCCAAUGAGGUGCAGAAGGUAUUCUGUGCCCAGUUUUUCUGUGUCCUGGGCCCCCAGAUCCUGGGAUGAGCUCCUUGGGAUGCUCCAUGCAAUGCUAUAACCAGCAGAUAUUUAGCCCACCACCUCCUGUUUUGUGAACCCCUAAAAUGAUUCUCAAAAUUCCUUCACAUUUCUCCACCUUGCUUCCAUCUGCACACCUCAUACUAUUUGGGGGUCUGAAGCUCAGAUUCACAUUUUCACAUUCACUUGUAGAAACAUUGGGACAUAGGAGUGGACGAGAAGGUAUGUGCCUGUGUAUGUGAGUGUGGUUUCUCCACCUGGACUGUGAGGGCCACUUUCACUAAUGAAUCACACGUGCGUACCACCUAGCUCCCUCAUUGGUCUUCUGGUCCAGGACCAGUUCUGCUGGGACUGAUUAAGGAGAACAGGAUGGUGGGGCUCCUGAGGUAUCUCUCCUAUCUUGUCUUUUUAGACCUCUCCAUUGGUUUUCAUCGGCUCCUCCUCAGGGAGCCAUUUGAAGAAACUCCUCUGUGACACUUCUGGACAGGCCAGUGCACAGAAAGCCAGGAUUUAAAUUCAAUGUGGACUCAGUCAUUCGGAAAUAGCCCUCAGGUUGCAGCCUUUCCUAACUCAAUAAAUUUGCUUCUUAGAGCCUUUAGUUUGAUUUCUGUUACUUGAGCCCAGGGAUCUAUCCACUUACUGAAACCUAAAUUUUUUAAAAAUUAGAGACACAAGUAACUUUCAGGAUUUCCCUAUUUUAAAGCACCCAUGACAGUCCCUUUCUGUGUUCUGUUCAGGAUUUCCAGAAUUAGAAAGGGAAACCAGGUUUGUGCCUUGGACCUAAAAGGAGUCCCCCGCCAAAAGCAAAGUGAGGACUGAGGAUUGGCCUGUACAGAGCCAGGCGGCAGAAUUUUGUUAAGUUAGCACUUACAUUCAGUGCUUACUAAGUGCCAGAAAUACACUUAAGACAAACAAGGGAGACAGGAAUUUACAGAUCAGUAUCCUAAACUGGAAGGAAGAGGUAAGGUAAUUCCCCCAGUGACAAGAAUGUGUCCAUGGAUCAGAAUUUCAAGAAGAAGCAGAAACUCAGAGAGACCACAAUCCCAGUCUUGGUAAGAUUCCAACACAAAAUGGAAGGGAGCCCUCUGUGGGGUGAUAUACAAAGGGUUUUUCUUGUCUUUCUUUUUCUUUUCUUUUUUUAAAAAGCAUUCCUUACUGGCUUGCUACCAGCAAUUGAACUGUAUUCUUAUAUAGCUAGAGCUGUUUGUGUCUUCUUAAAAUAAACUUUUUCGGUUAAAUCAUU